rnacentral:rRNA from 1 species
UAGGGAAUAUUGGUCAAUGGACGCAAGUCUGAACCAGCCAUGCCGCGUGAAGGAUGAAGGCCCUCUGGGUUGUAAACUUCUUUUCUACGGGAAUAAACCCCUCUACGUGUAGAGGGCUGAAGGUACCGUGGGAAUAAGGAUCGGCUAACUCCGUGCCAGCAGCCGCGGUAAUACGGAGGAUCCAAGCGUUGUCCGGAUUUAUUGGGUUUAAAGGGUGCGUAGGCGGACUACUAAGUCAGGGGUGAAAGCCGGCAGCUUAACUGUCGAAUUGCCUUUGAAACUGGUAGUCUUGAAUAUAGUUGAGGUGGGCGGAAUGUGACAUGUAGCGGUGAAAUGCUUAGAUAUGUUACAGAACACCGAUUGCGAAGGCAGCUCACUAAGCUAUGAUUGACGCUGAGGCACGAAAGCGUGGGGAUCAAACAGG